CCCCCGCCUGCGGACGCGCCGCACGGGGCAGGUGCCCGGUUCACCGCGCGCCGCGGGCGGGGCUGGAGCUCUGCGGCGGAGCGUACCCGCCCGGAGCCCGGAAUCGGGCGCGGGGAAGCCGAGGGUACCACGGACCUCCCGGCGACUUGGGCGAGUGUACACGGAUACUUUUGAGAACAUCAGCUUAUAUCAGACCAGAGCCUAUUUAACACGAGGCCUCUUCUACACAAACAGGGAAUGCAGCCUUCUUAAUACUGUUCUGGUAAAUACCCUUGCAUUAGAGGCUGGCUUUAUUUGAGAACUUAAUAAAUUCUACUUGUGGUUUAAGGUGAUAUUCCUU
rnacentral:lncRNA from 1 species